rnacentral:misc_RNA from 1 species
UAAAGUGCGAAAAGUAAUGCGAAUUGCAUACUCUGCGAGUCAUCUAGUCUUUGAACGCAAAUGGCACUGUCAUGUCAAGUGAUAGUAUGCCUGUUUGAGAACCAAAUAUCAUCUUACAACUAGUUAGUUGUAGACCAUGGCUUUCACCCCUGGGGUGUUGGCUUGAACUGAUUUUGCAUUGAGCCCUUAACAAUGUGUGAUAGUGAAUUCAAUUCAUAAGCAUAGUGUUGGGGCUCCAAGGUGCAAUCCGUGUGUGUGCAUAUCAUAUAUAUCAUAUAUAUCAUAUAUAUCAUAUACAUCUUAUACACACACACAACACAUAACAACGGUCUCAAAUCAGGCAAGGCUACCCGCUGAACUUAA